UACGUAGGGAGCAAGCGUUGUCCGGAAUCAUUGGGCGUAAAGCGCGCGUAGGCGGCCUCAUAAGUCCGUUGUGAAAGUCAAAGGCUCAACCUUUGAAAGCCGAUGGAUACUGUGAGGCUAGAGUCCGGAAGAGGCGAGUGGAAUUCCUGGUGUAGCGGUGGAAUGCGUAGAGAUCGGGAGGAACACCAAAGGCGAAAGCACUCUGCUGGGCCGCGACUGACACUGAGAGACGAAAGCGAGGGGAGCAAAUGGG
rnacentral:rRNA from 1 species